rnacentral:rRNA from 1 species
GACGAACGCUGGCGGCGUGCCUAAUACACGCAAGUUGAGCGCUGAAGGUUGGUACUUGUACCAACUGGAUGAGCAGCGAACGGGUGAGUAACGCGUGGGGAAUCUGCCUUUGAGCGGGGGACAACAUUUGGAAACGAAUGCUAAUACCGCAUAAAAACUUUAAACACAAGUUUUAAGUUUGAAAGAUGCAAUUGCAUCACUCAAAGAUGAUCCCGCGUUGUAUUAGCUAGUUGGUGAGGUAAAGGCUCACCAAGGCGAUGAUACAUAGCCGACCUGAGAGGGUGAUCGGCCACAUUGGGACUGAGACACGGCCCAAACUCCUACGGGAGGCAGCAGUAGGGAAUCUUCGGCGAUGGACGAAAGUCUGACCGAGCAACGCCGCGUGAGUGAAGAAGGGUUUCGGAUCGUAAAACUCUGUUGGUAGAGAAGAACGUUGGUGAGAGUGGAAAGCUCAUCAAGUGACGGUAACUACCCAGAAAGGGACGGCUAACUACGUG